rnacentral:rRNA from 1 species
CAGACCUCUAAUUGGAAAAGACUACCCGCUGA